rnacentral:lncRNA from 1 species
UGGUUGUCUUGUUUCUUCUCGGCAGAAGUUCAUGAACAAAUAUGUUAAAAAUUGCCUGGCAUGAAAAAAAAUCAAAAUUAAAAAAAUUAAAUUAUGGUUACACUUAUGCAUCUCUCAAAAGAAAUUUUUCCAACUCCAUUCUGGCUGGUUAGACAUAUGCAACUAAAGGAACAUCAUGUAAAGCUCUAUUUUCACGGGAACACAGAAGGUUGUGCAGACGUCGGUAGCUACGUGGACAGGAAGUUGUAGACGGUCACGCCCUCGUCUCAGUUCUUCCGGGUGUAACAGAGUUGAACACCUACACUGACACAUGCCCUACGCUCCAGUGAGGACCGCUCAUUCUCCGCUUGGUGUCGCUCGAAGCAUCUUCUGUUUACAGGUACUUCUCCCAUUGCUCUAUGGUGAACAGUGCUGGCUCUGUGUAAUGUCUGUUUUCCAGAGCUAAUUUGAAGGCCUGACUACUUAAUACCUAUAAAACUUGUUGAGAUCCUCUUCUAAGUCCCAGGGUCAAGGAAGCACCC